GACGGAGGAUGCAAGUGUUAUCCGGAAUCACUGGGCGUAAAGCGUCUGUAGGUCGUUCAAUAAGUCAACUGUUAAAUCUUGAGGCUCAACUUCAAAAUCGCAGUCGAAACUAUUAAACUAGAGUAUAGUAGGGGUAAAGGGAAUUUCCAGUGGAGCGGUGAAAUGCGUAGAGAUUGGAAAGAACACCAAUGGCGAAAGCACUUUACUGGGCUAUUACUGACACUGAGGCACGAAAGCUAGGGGAGCAAACAGG
rnacentral:rRNA from 1 species